UACGUAGGGUGCGAGCGUUGUCCGGAAUUAUUGGGCGUAAAGAGCUCGUAGGCGGUCUGUCGCGUCGGAUGUGAAAGCCCGGGGCUUAACUCCGGGUCUGCAUUCGAUACGGGCAGACUAGAGGUAUGCAGGGGAGAACGGAAUUCCUGGUGUAGCGGUGAAAUGCGCAGAUAUCAGGAGGAACACCGGUGGCGAAGGCGGUUCUCUGGGCAUUACCUGACGCUGAGGAGCGAAAGUGUGGGGAGCGAACAGG
rnacentral:rRNA from 1 species